GCAAGUCGAGCGCUUCACUUCGGUGAGGAGCGGCGGACGGGUUAGUAACGCGUGGGAACAUACCCUUUUCUACGGAAUAGCCUCGGGAAACUGAGAGUAAUACCGUAUACGCCCUUCGGGGGAAAGAUUUAUCGGUGAAGGAUUGGCCCGCGUUAGAUUAGAUAGUUGGUGGGGUAAUGGCCUACCAAGGCAACGAUCUAUAGCUGGUCUGAGAGGACGAUC
rnacentral:rRNA from 1 species